rnacentral:rRNA from 1 species
CCUACGGGUGACAGCAGUGAGGAAUAUUGGUCAAUGGACGAGAGUCUGAACCAGCCAAGUAGCGUGAAGGAUGACUGCCCUAUGGGUUGUAAACUUCUUUUAUAAAGGAAUAAAACGAGGAACGUGUGCCCUUUUGCAUGUACUUUAUGAAUAAGGAUCGGCUAACUCCGUGCCAGCAGCCGCGGUAAUACGGAGGAUCCGAGCGUUAUCCGGAUUUAUUGGGUUUAAAGGGAGCGUAGAUGGGUUGUUAAGUCAGUUGUUAAAGUUUGCGGCUCAACCGUAAAAUUGCAAUUGAUACUGGCAGUCUUGAGUACAGUUGAGGUAGGCGGAAUUCGUGGUGUAGCGGUGAAAUGCUUAGAUAUCACGAAGAACCCCGAUUGCGAAGGCAGCUUACUAAACUGUGACUGACAUUGAUGCUCGAAAGUGUGGGUAUCAAACAGGAUUAGAUACCCCUGUAGUC